ACGCAGUGUCCAUAACCAAAGAAUCGAGAGGCUGUGGCGAGAUGUUUACAUCUGUGUGUUGGAUGUUUUCCAUUCCAUCUUCUCAUGUUUGGAAAGCAUGGGUUUGCUACAUCCAGACAACGAGCUCCACCUGUAUGCUCUCCACUGGGUCUUCAUACCUGUGAUCCAGUCCCAUCUCGACUUCUUUGUCCAGGGAUGGAACAACCACAGCAUCCGAACUGCCAGGAAUAUGUCUCCCCUGCAAAUGUGGCAUGUGUUCAGGAACAGUGAAGAUAUCAUGCAGGUCAGUGAAGAAUAUGGGACUGACUGGAGUGGACCAAGUGCAGCAGGGGUGGACACUCAUCUUGACAUUCCAGAGACUGAGCUUCCAAGGCAGCUUACUGAAGCAGACUUUGCCCUUUUACCUCAACCAAGCACAGAGCAACGUGACUAC